rnacentral:tRNA from 1 species
GCCAGAGUGCAUAGUGGUUUGAGUGUUGGGACUAUGAUUCUGGAGACCAGGGUUCAAUUCCCUGCUUGGUUA